AUGAAAUUGAAAGGAAAACCUCGACAGAAUGGUCGAGAAAACCAGAGAGAGAAGCCCGGAGGAUUGAAUAUUGGAGGUUGCGAUGAAGAUCAAAUGAUAGAAGUUGAAGUGACUCCUCAAGAAUCGUAUUCUGAGAAUACGAAGUCUUGGUUGAUUAACAAGUUGAUAAAGAUAUCAAUGGUGAUGAUGAAUAAUCAAGCAGUUGUGGUUGCGGAAAAUGAUGUUGUGUACUUGAAUAUUGAUAAGAAAAUCAAGAUGAAGUGA